AUGGGAAGGCGGCGAAGGAGGGGGAGCGGGGUCAGAUGGCUGGGCCACUACUCCUCGGCGCAGAGCAUCCUGGUCGUCGGCGACGGGGACUUCUCCUUCUCGCUGGCGCUCGCCGCCGCGUUCGGCUCCGGGGAGAACAUCGUCGCGACGUCGCUGGGCUCCUAUGAAGCUCUGAUAUGCAAGUAUAGCAAAGCAGAGACAAAUGUAAUGAAGGUGGAGAGAAGGGGGGCCACAGUUCUUCAUCGCAUCAAUGCAAAUAAUAUGUCUGGUCACACUUAUCUGAAGUUUAGACAGUUUGAUCGGAUUGUCUUUAAUUUUCCUCAUGCUGGCUUCAAGGGAAAAGAGGAAGACAUGCGUAUGGUCAACUCGCACAGGAAGCUUGUCAAGGGGUUCUUUGGUAACGCGCGACGCCUGCUUCAGCCUUACGGUGAAAUCCACAUCAGCCACAAGAUGGGAUAUCCUUACGAUGCGUGGGAUCUCAAGCGACUGGCCUCGGAGUCGUUUCUUGAUAUGAUUCGGAUAGUUGGUUUCCACAAACACGACUACCCCGGCUAUAACCAGAAGAAAGGAGAUGGCCCAAGGUGCAACGAGCCAUUUUACCUAGGUGUCUCCUGCACAUUUAAGUUCUGCCUGAUGUACUCCUACUAA
rnacentral:rRNA from 1 species